rnacentral:snRNA from 1 species
AAGAUGAGCUCAACGAGAAC